rnacentral:rRNA from 1 species
UGCGGAGGGAUCAUUACUGAGUUUACGCUCUACAACCCUUUGUGAACAUACCUAUAACUGUUGCUUCGGCGGGUAGGGUCUCCGCGACCCUCCCGGCCUCCCGCCUCCGGGCGGGUCGGCGCCCGCCGGAGGAUAACCAAACUCUGAUUUAACGACGUUUCUUCUGAGUGGUACAAGCAAAUAAUCAAAACUUUUAACAACGGAUCUCUUGGUUCUGGCAUCGAUGAAGAACGCAGCGAAAUGCGAUAAGUAAUGUGAAUUGCAGAAUUCAGUGAAUCAUCGAAUCUUUGAACGCACAUUGCGCCCGCCAGCAUUCUGGCGGGCAUGCCUGUUCGAGCGUCAUUUCAACCCUCAAGCUCUGCUUGGUGUUGGGGCCCUACAGCUGAUGUAGGCCCUCAAAGGUAGUGGCGGACCCUCUCGGAGCCUCCUUUGCGUAGUAACUUUACGUCUCGCACUGGGAUCCGGAGGGACUCUUGCCGUAAAACCCCCAAUUUUCCAAAGGUUGACCUCGGAUCAGGUAGGAAUACCCGCUGAACUUAAGCAUA